rnacentral:rRNA from 1 species
UACGUAGGGUGCGAGCGUUAAUCGGAAUUACUGGGCGUAAAGCGUGCGCAGGCGGUUUUGUAAGCCAGAUGUGAAAGCCCCGGGCUCAACCUGGGAAUGGCAUUUGGGACUGCAAGGCUUGAGGACUGGAGAGGAGACUGGAAUUCAUGGUGUAGCAGUGAAAUGCGUAGAGAUCAUGAGGAAGACCAGUGGCGAAGGCGGGUCUCUGGACAGUUCCUGACACUGAGACACGAAGGCCAGGGGAGCAAACGGG